rnacentral:rRNA from 1 species
GGGGAGCCAUUCUGCUCGCCCGAACCCUCCUCUCAGUCCCCCUUUCUUCCCCCCGACCGCCGCCGCCGCCUCCUCCUCUCGGUUCCCUCUCCUUCCUUCGAGUUUGCUUCAGCCAUGGGUAAGGAGAAGACUCACAUCAACAUCGUGGUCAUUGGCCACGUCGACUCUGGCAAGUCGACGACCACUGGCCACCUGAUCUACAAGCUUGGAGGCAUUGACAAGCGUGUCAUCGAGAGGUUCGAGAAGGAAGCCGCUGAAAUGAACAAGAGGUCUUUCAAGUACGCCUGGGUGCUUGACAAGCUCAAGGCCGAGCGUGAGAGAGGUAUCACCAUCGAUAUUGCUCUCUGGAAGUUUGAGACCACCAAGUACUACUGCACCGUCAUUGAUGCCCCUGGUCACCGUGACUUCAUCAAGAACAUGAUCACCGGUACCUCCCAGGCUGACUGUGCUGUUCUCAUCAUUGACUCCACCACUGGUGGUUUUGAGGCUGGUAUCUCCAAGGAUGGCCAGACACGUGAGCACGCCCUCCUUGCUUUCACUCUUGGAGUGAAGCAGAUGAUCUGCUGCUGCAACAAGAUGGACGCCACCACUCCCAAGUACUCGAAGGCUCGUUACGAAGAAAUUGUUAAGGAGGUCUCUUCGUACCUGAAGAAGGUCGGCUACAACCCUGACAAGGUUCCCUUCGUCCCCAUCUCUGGGUUUGAGGGUGACAACAUGAUUGAGAGGUCCACCAACCUUGACUGGUACAAGGGCCCAACCCUGCUUGAGGAGCUGGAGGCCCUGCCAAAGUUCCUCAAGAAUGGUGAUGCUGGCAUAGUGAAGAUGAUUCCCACCAAGCCCAUGGUUGUGGAGACCUUUGCUACUUACCCUCCUCUUGGUCGUUUUGCUGUACGUGACAUGAGGCAAACUGUGGCUGUUGGUGUCAUCAAGGGCGUCGAGAAGAAGGACCCAACCGGGGCUAAGGUGACCAAGGCUGCCAUCAAGAAGAAGUAAUUUGACAAUCGAUAUCCAAAUCACUGUUUCAGGCACCAAGCAGUUUUUAGUAUUGGCUGAGUUUUGUUAAGGGCAUUGCUCGUACUGGGUAUAUUCUAGCUGUUCAGCUGUUAGCGCUGCAUAUCGUGCCCUUAGUGGUGUCUGUCUUGUGCCUUCUACAUACUGUCCUAAUGUAAGCUUCGGUGAAACCUGGAUGUUAUGAGACUUGGUUGUGUCUUUUAAUACUAGUUUGUUGAAUUUUAUCUGUGUAGAUGCUUUAUCUAGUGCAUUUUUGGAU